GUAACGAGCGCAACCCUUGUCCUUAGUUACCGAGCACGUUAUGGUGGGCACUCUAAGGAGACUGCCGGUGGACAAACCGGAGGAAGGUGGGGAUGACGUCAAGUCAUCCAUGGCCCUUACGGCCUGGGCUACACACGUGACUACAAUGGUCGGUACAAAGGGUUGCCAAGCCGCGAGGUGGAGCUAAUCCCAUAAAACCGAUCGUAGUCCGGAUCGCAGUCUGCAACUCGACUGCGUGAAGUCGGAAUCGCUAGUAAUCGUGAAUCAGAAUGUCACGGUGAAUACGUUCCCGGGCCUU
rnacentral:rRNA from 1 species